GUCCACAGUCUCUGCAGCAAAGAAGACCUCGUCCAAACUCCUACGGGUGCCGGGCCUCGCUACCGACUCCAACCGAACUUCGGCCAACAAGUCUGGAUCCCCUGACAAGCCACAGUAACGGACACCACUGCUCCACUCUCUGCGACGGACCCUGCGUAGCCCCAUUACUCCCUGACAGGCUGCAUUAACGGCCAUGACCCUGCUCCACUCCCUGCGGC
rnacentral:lncRNA from 1 species